rnacentral:rRNA from 1 species
UUUAAAGUCUGACCUGCCCAAUGAGAAUUUUAAUGGCCGCAGUAUUUUGACUGUGCAAAGGUAGCAUAAUCAUUAGUUUUUUAAUUGGAAGCUGGAAUGAAUGGUUUGAUGAGAAAAAGACUGUCUUAAUGUUAAAGAUUUAGAAUUUUAUUUUUGAGUAAAAAAGCUUAAAUAAGUUAAAAAGACGAGAAGACCCUAUAGAGUUUUAGUUUUAAUUUAUUUAAAAAAAUAAAGAUUAAAUUAUUUUAAAUAUAUUUAAAAUUUUUAUUGGGGUGAUAUAAAAAUUUAAUUAACUUUUUAUUUAUAAAAACAUUUAUUUAUGAUUUAUUGAUCCUAAUAUUUAGAUUAUAAGAAAAAAUUACCUUAGGGAUAACAGCGUAAUUUUUUUUAAGAGUUCUUAUCGAAAAAAGAGAUUGCGACCUCGAUGUUGGAUUAAAAUUUAUUUUCGGUGUAGAAGCUGAAAUAUUAGGUCUGUUCGACCUUUAAAAUUUUACA